rnacentral:rRNA from 1 species
GACGAACGCUGGCGGCGUGCUUAACACAUGCAAGUCGAACGGAGAGGCCGUGCUUGCUUUGUGUGCUCGUGUGGAAAGCGGGUGUAACACGCGAGUGUAACCUGCUCUUGACUGGGAUAUGCGUUGGAAACAAUGGGGAUUAUAGCAGAUGAGCUGUCCUGCCAUGUUGAUCAGGUGGAAAGAUUUGGCGGUUAGGGAUGGACUCGCGGCCUAUCAGCUUGUUGGUGAGGUAAUGGCUCACCAAGGCUAUGACGGGUAGCCGGCCUGAGAGGGUGACCGGCCACAUUGGGACUGAGAUACGGCCCAGACUCCUACGGGAGGCAGCAGUGGGGAAUAUUGCACAAUGGGCGGAAGCCUGAUGCAGCAACGCCGCGUGAGGGAUGACGGCCUUCGGGUUGUAAACCGCUUUUGGUAGUGAAGAAGCGUGAGUGACGGUAAUGGGUAAAGAAGCACCGGCUAACUACGUG